rnacentral:rRNA from 1 species
UACGGGGGGGGCAAGCGUUGUUCGGAAUUACUGGGCGUAAAGGGCUCGUAGGUGGCCAACUAAGUCAGACGUGAAAUCCCUCGGCUUAACCGGGGAACUGCGUCUGAUACUGGAUGGCUUGAGGUUGGGAGAGGGAUGCGGAAUUCCAGGUGUAGCGGUGAAAUGCGUAGAUAUCUGGAGGAACACCGGUGGCGAAGGCGGCAUCCUGGACCAUUACUGACACUGAAAAGCGAAAGCCAGGGGAGCAAACGGG